GAAGACUGGUCACAGAGGACUGGUGGCAGACUCAGAAGAAAGGGAAACCAGUGUAGAGGCAAAAGCUGAGCUGGAGGAUCGGAGGACCAAGGCAGAGCUGGGGUCUUGGAGGACUGAGGCUGAGCCACUGAGACAGAAGAUCAAAAUGAAGCCAGGGGAAUGGAAGACCCAGAAGGAGCUGGAAGAUUGGUGAUGAAAGGCAAAGCUGGAUAGAGUGGAGCCAAGGGAAAAAGGGACCCUGGUGGGGAUUCACAAGGUGGAGCCAGGGAAUCAGAGAACCUUGGCUAAGUUAACAAACCAAGAGAACGCAGUGGUUUUGGCUGACCAGAAGGCUGUGGUCAAGCUGGUGAAGCCAGUAAUCCUUGAUGAAGAGGCUUUCAUGCUGGAUAGAACCAGCAAAAGGGGAAGGACUAGGGCACCACCAAAGGUCACUAUCCACUGCAUGGACAACAUUUGCAACUGGCUGUGAUGUGAGCCUGACAGAUGCAGUUAAGCUACAGGAAGUGGUUGUUAGUUACUUGCCACAUUGCUGCACAGAUGAUUGACAUCUGGCAUCCAAUGAAAGCAGGAGGAGUCACAUACCUUGCACAGCCUGAUGCACUAAAGGGUUCUUUGGCUAACACUCAAGACCAAGUAUGUAUAGCGUGUAUCACACUUCUGGUGUAGAUAUUCUACUAGCCAUUGUCAGAGUUCCUAGCCUAGCGUGUCUUUCCAUGUUUUUGAUUCUUGCUCGUGUACUUUGGAUUUACCUUUUUGCCUGCUGUUUUGGACUGUGAUCGCACCUCGCCCUGACCAUUGCUCGUGUUCCUGAAUUACCCCUUUUGUCUUGCCCUCCGGAUACUGUUCACUGAUCAUCGACCCACGCUCACCCAAGGACUAUUCUUGUGUUUUGCCCAUGCCAUACCUGUUUGAUUUUGAUUCAACCCUGCCUGUGUUUGACCUUGCUUACCAAUAAAGCCUGCAAAUGGA